CCCUUAGAUGUUCUGGGCCGCACGCGCGCUACACUGACGAAUGCAACGAGCUUAUAACCUUGGCCGAAAGGUCUGGGUAAUCUCCAAAUUUCGUCGUGAUGGGGAUAGAUUAUUGCAAUUAUUAAUCUUCAACGAGGAAUGCCUAGUAAGCGCAAGUCAUCAGCUUGCGUUGAUUACGUCCCUGCCCUUUGUACACACCGCCCGUCGCUCCUACCGAUUGAAUGGUCCGGUGAAGCGUUCGGACCGUGGCCUUUGGACGGUUCGCCGUCGGUUGGCUGCGGGAAGUUCGUUAAACCUUAUCAUUUAGAGGAAGGAGAAGUCGUAACA
rnacentral:rRNA from 1 species